CCACCACAACCACCACCUCAACCACUCUAGCGCACGCGGGCGGUGCUCAAGAGACGAGACAGCUUCGCCAGACAGCUCCCGGUGUUCUUCCGUCGAAGAAGGGCACACAGACAGACAGACAGACGUCUCAUUCAGUCAACCCACACCACCUGGGUCUGUACGGUGACCUCCUGCACGUAACCUGGCACAUUAGUCAACCCACAACGUCUGGGCCUCGAGGUGCACCUAGACUGGUACAAGCGGCGUGGUGAUGUCACCGCCACCUAGUGGCGAUGUUGUUGUUGUUGUUGUG